rnacentral:rRNA from 1 species
GAUUUCUGGAUGGCUGUGCUAGCCCGCUGGCUUUCGGGUCGGUGAGCGCCGGUACGAGUCAUUCAUCUUUGUAGGGAGCCUGGUCUGCCCUUUUUUGGGUGGGUCUGUGCGAACUACAUCAUUUACUUUGAAAAAAUUAGAGUGUUUAAAGCAGGCUUACGCUAUGAAUACAUUAGCAUGGAAUAAUAAUAUAGGACUUCGGUUCUAUUUUGUUGGUUUUCGGGACUGAAGUAAUGAUUGAUAGGGAUAGUUGGGGGUGCUAGUAUUCAGCGGCCAGAGGUGAAAUUCUCGGAUUCGCUGAAGACUAACUUAUGCGAAAGCAUU